rnacentral:rRNA from 1 species
UUUGUUUAUAUAUUGAUAAUGACAGUAUAUAUAUCGUGUCUUGACUAAUUGCGUGCCAGCAGUCGCGGUAAUACGUAAGAGACUAGUGUUAUUCAUCUUAAUUAGGUUUAAAGGGUACCCAGACGGUCAAUAUAGCUUAUAAAAUGUUAGUACUUGACUAGAGUUUUAUGUAAGAGGGCAGUACUUGAGGAGGAGAGAUGAAAUUUCGUGAUACCAAAGGGACUCUGUAAAGGCGAAGGCAGCCCUCUAUGUAAAAACUGACGUUGAAGGACGAAGGCACAGAGAACAAACAGGAUUAGAUACCCAAGUAGUCUUUGCAGUAAAUGAUGAAUGCCAUAGGUUAGAUGGGUCAAUUAUAGUCUAGGGUUAGUCUAGCAAACUAAUACCCUAUGCUAUAAUUCCUAAUAUCUGGUCUAUAAAUGAAAGUGUAAGCAUUUCACCUCAAGAGUAAUGUGGCAACGCAGGAACUGAAAUCACUAGACCGUUUCUGACACCAG